AUUGAACGCUGGCGGCAUGCCUUACACAUGCAAGUCGAACGGCAGCACGGAGCUUGCUCUGGUGGCGAGUGGCGAACGGGUGAGUAAUAUAUCGGAACGUACCCUAGAGUGGGGGAUAACGUAGCGAAAGUUACGCUAAUACCGCAUACGAUCUAAGGAUGAAAGUGGGGGAUCGCAAGACCUCAUGCUCGUGGAGCGGCCGAUAUCUGAUUAGCUAGUUGGUAGGGUAAAAGCCUACCAAGGCAUCGAUCAGUAGCUGGUCUGAGAGGACGACCAGCCACACUGGAACUGAGACACGGUCCAGACUCCUACGGGAGGCAGCAGUGGGGAAUUUUGGACAAUGGGCGAAAGCCUGAUCCAGCAAUGCCGCGUGAGUGAAGAAGGCCUUCGGGUUGUAAAGCUCUUUUGUCAGGGAAGAAACGGUGAAAGCUAAUAUCUUUUGCUAAUGACGGUACCUGAAGAAUAAGCACCGGCUAACUACGUGCCAGCAGCCGCGGUAAUACGUAGGGUGCAAGCGUUAAUCGGAAUUACUGGGCGUAAAGCGUGCGCAGGCGGUUUUGUAAGUCUGAUGUGAAAUCCCCGGGCUCAACCUGGGAAUUACAUUGGAGACUGCAAGGCUAGAAUCUGGCAGAGGGGGGUAGAAUUCCACGUGUAGCAGUGAAAUGCGUAGAUAUGUGGAGGAACACCGAUGGCGAAGGCAGCCCCCUGGGUCAAGAUUGAUGCUCAUGCACGAAAGCGUGGGGAGCAAACAGGAUUAGAUACCCUGGUAGUCCACGCCCUAAACGAUGUCUACUAGUUGUCGGGUCUUAAUUGACUUGGUAACGCAGCUAACGCGUGAAGUAGACCGCCUGGGGAGUACGGUCGCAAGAUUAAAACUCAAAGGAAUUGACGGGGACCCGCACAAGCGGUGGAUGAUGUGGAUUAAUUCGAUGCAACGCGAAAAACCUUACCUACCCUUGACAUGGCUGGAAUCCUCGAGAGAUUGAGGAGUGCUCGAAAGAGAACCAGUACACAGGUGCUGCAUGGCUGUCGUCAGCUCGUGUCGUGAGAUGUUGGGUUAAGUCCCGCAACGAGCGCAACCCUUGUCAUUAGUUGCUACGAAAGGGCACUCUAAUGAGACUGCCGGUGACAAACCGGAGGAAGGCGGGGAUGACGUCAAGUCCUCAUGGCCCUUAUGGGUAGGGCUUCACACGUCAUACAAUGGUACAUACAGAGCGCCGCCAACCCGCGAGGGGGAGCUAAUCGCAGAAAGUGUAUCGUAGUCCGGAUUGUAGUCUGCAACUCGACUGCAUGAAGUUGGAAUCGCUAGUAAUCGCGGAUCAGCAUGUCGCGGUGAAUACGUUCCCGGGUCU
rnacentral:rRNA from 1 species